AAGUAUUGAAAUCAUACACAUGGCUAUUGCCAGUGUUAAUGCCUGUAUUAUGUGUUGUUACCCAAGGUGAGAUAUGGUAAGAUUCCGUGUUGUUCAUUCCGAAUAACAUGAUGAUGUAACUAAUGUGGUAAUAUCUAUGAUGUUGACAAGGUUGUAAAAUAACCACCUGUAUUGUCAAAGAUGCAAUAUAACAAUUAUGGAGUGUUGUAAUAAAUAAUUGAAGAUC